rnacentral:rRNA from 1 species
CCUACGGGAGGCAGCAGUGGGGAAUUUUGGACAAUGGGCGCAAGCCUGAUCCAGCAAUGCCGCGUGAGUGAAGAAGGCCUUCGGGUUGUAAAGCUCUUUUGUCAGGGAAGAAACGGUGAGGGCUAAUAUCCUUUGCUAAUGACGGUACCUGAAGAAUAAGCACCGGCUAACUACGUGCCAGCAGCCGCGGUAAUACGUAGGGUGCAAGCGUUAAUCGGAAUUACUGGGCGUAAAGCGUGCGCAGGCGGUUUUGUAAGUCUGUCGUGAAAUCCCCGGGCUCAACCUGGGAAUUGCGAUGGAGACUGCAAGGCUAGAAUCUGGCAGAGGGGGGGUAGAAUUCCACGUGUAGCAGUGAAAUGCGUAGAGAUGUGGAGGAACACCGAUGGCGAAGGCAGCCCCCCUGGGUCAAGAUUGACGCUCAUGCACGAAAGCGUGGGGGAGCAAACAGGAUUAGAUACCCUGGUAGUCCACGCCCUAAACGAUGUCUACUGUUGUCGGGUUUUAAUUAACUUGGUAACGCNGCUACGCGUGAGAGACGCCGNGGGNGGAGGUCGCGAAGAUAAACUUAGAAAGUAAGUUAGAGGNGNGNGNGNGCGAGGCGACGACGAGGGAGGAGG